UGGUGGUGUAGGGGUGGUGGUGAUAGUGGUGGUGUAGGGGUGUUGGUGGUGGUGGUGGUGUAGGGGUAGUGGUGUAGGGGUGUUGAUGUAGGGGUGGUGGUGGUAGUGGUGGUGUAGGGGUGAUGGUGGUGGGGUGUUGGUGGUGGUGGUGUAGGGGUGGUGGUGUAGGGGUGGGGGUGGGGUGUUGGUGGUAGUGGUGGUGUAGGGGUGUUGGUUGUGUAGGGGUGUUGGUGGUGGUGUGGUGGUGGUGUAGGGGUGUUGGUUGUGUAGGGGUGUUGGUGGUGGUGUGGUGGUGGUGUAGGGGUG
ensembl:lncRNA